rnacentral:rRNA from 1 species
AAUCCUCCACGAUGGACGAAAGUCUGAUGGAGCAACGCCGCGUGAGCGAAGAAGGUUGUCGGAUCGUAAAGCUCUGUUGCGGGGGAAUAACAAGUACGGGAGUAACUGCCCGUACCUUGACGGUACCUCGGCAGUAAGCCACGGCUAACUACGUGCCAGCAGCCGAGGUAAUACGUAGGUGGCAAGCGUUGUCCGGAAUUAUUGGGCGUAAAGCGCGCGCAGGCGGUCCUUUAAGUCUGAUGUGAAAGCCCACGGCUCAACCGUGGAGGGUCAUUGGAAACUGGAGGACUUGAGUACAGAAGAGGAAAGCGGAAUGCCACGUGUAGCGGUGAAAUGCGUAGAGAUGUGGAGGAACACCAGUGGCGAAGGCGGCUUUCUUGUCUGUAACUGACGCUGAGGCGCGAAAGCGUGGGGAGCAAACA